AUUUCAUGCAUCUUCUAUAUAAAUCUCACCUUCAUUGCUCUCCUAAGAUAUUGCAAAACUCAGUUUUUAACUCUUUUUAGUUCUUUGCUAUAUAUAACUAUUGAUCAAACAUCCUUCUCCAUUACCAAUAGAUUGGUUUGAUAGGGUAAGACUCCGCUCGAUCCACAACAAAAUUAGAAGGUAAGAGUUUGAAUUCUGAAAGCAAUAUUUGUUUAGAGUAGAGGACAAUCAAAUAUCCUAAAAUAAAUUAGUUCAUCAAAGUACAGAAAACCAACAUUCUCAAUUAAUUGGAUUAUUUGGUCUCUUGUAGUCAUGGCUAAUGCUAAGGAUAACUCCAACACCAUGCCCAUGCUUCAAACAUCCAAUUAUAUGACUUGCACAAAAAAACCUCACACAAGGAUCUUAACAACAACUCCAAAGAAGAAUCCAGGUAAUGGGAGUGAUCCAGGAACCAAUUCGGUUUCACGUGAAAUCAUAAUUAUGUGUAAUCAAGUUAGGGACAAUUAUGAACAACUGAAAAAGAUGAAUUCGACUUAUUUUAAGUUGUUACUUCUGCUUUUAGUCGUAAAAGUAAAAGUAGUGGAGUGGAAAAUGUUGUGUAAAACAAGACAAAAAAUAACCUUAAAAUAAUAAUUGUAUUUCUUAUUUAUAUUUGCAGUUACAUUUUUAUCCUCGAAAAUGUAAAAAUAAUAUUUCUCUAUCCAAU
rnacentral:lncRNA from 1 species